CAGUCGUACGUGAAGUUCCGCAAGGAAUGAGUAAAGUGGCGAACGGGUGAGUAAUACAUAGGUAAUCUACUUAUAAGUUCGGGAUAACAGUUCGAAAGGACUGCUAAUACCGGAUAAUGUACUGUUUCAGAAGAUUCAGUACCAAAGGUGGCCUCUUCACAAUGCUACCGAUUAUAAAUGAGCCUAUGGACCAUUAGUUAGUUGGCAGGGUAAUGGCCUACCAAGACAAAGAUGGUUAGCUGGUCUGAGAGGAUGAUCAGCCACACUGGAACUGAAACACGGUCCAGACUCCUACGGGAGGCAGCAGUGGGGAAUAUUGCGCAAUGGGGGAAACCCUGACGCAGCAACGCCGUGUGAGCGAUGAAGGCCUUCGGGUUGUAAAGCUCUGUUAAAUAAGAAGAAACUCCCGCAUUCUAAUACAAUACGGGAUUGACGGUAUUAUUAGAGAAAGCACCGGCUAACUCCGUGCCAGCAGCCGCGGUAAGACGGAGGGUGCAAGCGUUGUUCGGAAUUACUGGGCGUAAAGGGCGUGUAGGCGGUUUAAUAAGUUAGGUGUGAAAUCUUCAGGCUCAACCUGAAAAGUGCACUUAAAACUGUUAGACUAGAGAGUGGUAGGGGGAAGCGGAAUUCCUAGUGUAGAGGUGAAAUU
rnacentral:rRNA from 1 species